CGACGACGAAAAGAGGCCCAUGGAAAAUCUUUGUGCGUUCGAGAGAAAGGGGACGACCAGAUGAAAGUUAAAAAAGCCAAGAAGAAGAAGCAGCAUACCAGUUCCAGAUAUGCAAAUGAGUCCUUCUUUUCUUUUCUCUGUGUGUGUGAGUGUAUGUGAACGGAGUCAUUUCUCAAACUCCCACUUUGAUCCACAGGGCAAGAGGUUUUAAGACGAGGAGGGACGAACCCCCCUCAAGAAAAAAGGUAAAAUACCUGUGUGUGUGCUGCCUUAUCCAAUAUAUACGUGGUGCUUUUGAUUAUAACUCCAAGCCACUUGAAAAAAAAAAAAACAGGUAACGCCUCAGCAACUUGAAACGAUCGUCAAGAUUUUUUUUUCUGCCAUUUUUUCUUUUAGAUGGAACCAUCUUCUUUCAUUUUUUAUUCUAUCUAAAUGAUUAAAAAAAAAAAAGUUGUUUGAUGUUUGUUAUCGUAGUGGAGAACCUUUUAAAUAUUUUAAUAUUCCAAAAGAAAAAAAGAUGUGGGAGGAAUAAAAAGAUGAAACCAUGGAAAGAAAAAAAGGAAGUACAUCAAAUAAAGUUGGAUUCACCGCCAGCAUGUAAUCAGCUUUCGCUAUCAGCAACAUGAUAAAACGAACAAGUUAAAAAGACGUGAGACUCCAACAAUUCAGUUUAAAUAUGAUUUUCUUUCCUGGAUACGCGUAACGGCAAUAACAAGGAACCUGGAAAACUUCUGGUGCUCUACCUGUGCGCGAGAGUGGAAACGAAUCAACACGGGGCCACAGAAAAAAAACAAAAACCGCAACCUUCUUUUCUGUUUUAUUCGACUCAACGCAUAGAGUAACUAUAACCUCGCAAAAUGUCUUUGUUCCAUUGCCUCGUUCUGGAAAGAAAAAAGAAUUGUAUGUUUGGACUAUUGUUUAAUCGGCCGAUUCGAACCGGUUAGACGUCAAGCGCCGAUGAUAAACGAAUUAUAAAAAUGCAUUAAUCGUUUUUGUUGUUGUUGUUGUUGUUGUUGUCAUAAUGGCAAUGAAAAAUGUGAAAAAACAACAAAAAUCAAAAGAUAAGAAUGCAAGACAAA